UACGUAGGGCGCAAGCGUUGUCCGGAAUUAUUGGGCGUAAAGAGCUCGUAGGUGGUUGGUCGCGUCUGCCGUGAAAACCCAUGGCUUAACUGUGGGCUUGCGGUGGAUACGGGCCGACUUGAGGUAGGUAGGGGAGAAUGGAAUUCCCGGUGUAGCGGUGAAAUGCGCAGAUAUCGGGAGGAACACCGGUGGCGAAGGCGGUUCUCUGGGCCUUACCUGACGCUGAGGAGCGAAAGCGUGGGGAGUGAACAGG
rnacentral:rRNA from 1 species